rnacentral:lncRNA from 1 species
AGAUACUCUAAAGACCAUGAAUGGGCUUCUGAAUGGCACGAUUAUUUACACAGUCUGGUGCAUCCAUAGGCAUGGUGGAGAUCCGUAGUUUUUCUGCUUUUCCCUGUUCAGGUUUCUCUUUUUGCUGGGGAUAUUGAUAUGCAUGGAACGUCUGCAAGAGCCUUGGUGUCCUCACCUCCAACCGAAGGAUGAGAAAUGAGAUCAUGCAGCCUAGAAGUGACACACAUCACUUGUGCUUGCAUUCCAUUGGUAAGAAGUGGUCACAUAAUCUCUGGCUGAGUGACAACUCCACAUUCUGGAAGAUGAAGCACAAGUUGUACGUGGAGAGGUGGCCUUCUCUACCACUGAUUGCAGUAAGUACUACAUAACUCUUUUGGUUAAACUUAGGUAAUCAGCUGCACAAACCCUGACUUGCUUAUCUGCUUUCUCUCCCAUCAUUGGUUAAAUUUAACCUUUUUUUCUGCAUAGUAAAGUCAAAUCCUUAAUGUAAAAAUAAACAUUUUAUUGAGUGUAAGGCAUUGCUUCUGUUCAUGGAAGCAUCUCUAUUAAGAUGGUAAUAGUUUAAAGAACAUAUUUUAUUGAAUAAAAUGGUGACAGAAAGUAGAAAUAAUGGUGUUUCGAUGUGCUUUUUAGGAUUCAAUCUCUACUUUGUUGUGCUUUUCUGUUCAGAAUAAUUUGUUCUGUGCUCUCAAGGCUUCUAUCACUCCCACAUUCCUCAGAGGAGCAGCAUAAUGGUGUGUAGGCAUGUUAUGGAUUGAACUGGGUUCACCAAAAAGAUGUGUUGAAGUCCUAACCCCCAUUACCUCAAAAUGUGACCUUACUGGGAAAUAGGGUCAUUUCAGACAUAAUUAGCUAAGAUGAGGUCCUUAGGGCACACCCUAAUCCAAUAUGGCUGGUGUUCUUAUAAUAAAAGGGAAGUUGAUGAGGAGACAGACCCACAGGAAAACAGCUGUGUAAUGAUGGAGGCAGAUAUUGGAGUGCUGCAGCUGCAAGCCUCCACCAGAAGCUAGGAAGAGGCAGGCAGGCCUCUUCCCAAAGUCUCAGAGGGAACAUGGUCUUACUAACAGCUUGACUUUGGGUUUCUAGCAUCUAGAAUAUGAAGGGAUACAUUUCUGUUUUUAUAAGCCCUUCGGUUGUGCUAUUUUGUUAUAUCAGCCCAAUACAUGGUUGUGAAUUAAGCAGAUCUGGGGUUGAAUACCAUUUUUCUCACCCUCUGUAUCAUCCUGGGCAGGAUGCAUUACUUUUCAGAGCCUACUCUGUCAACUGUAAAAUUGGACAAAAUAUUUACCUUUUCAGGGCUCUUAGAAUUUCAACCUUUAGCAUAAGUCCUGUCACACUGUAAAUGCUAAAUUAAGGAGAAGUUAUUGUGACAUGUUUGUUGGCAUAUGGAGUAGCAUAGGGUUUGGAUAUUCUUUCAGAUACCAGUGGUAUAGCUUGGAAUCCAACUUUUUUUUUUUUUUGCCUGGUAUGGAUUUGUAUACCAGAUUAUCUUUGUAUUCUUUCACUCAGACCACAGUCAUUCCAUACACAGACAAAAUGAGCUAUUUAGCUUUGGUCUCAGAGCAGACAAACUCUUCUACAGGAAAAGAUUAAGAAGGAUACAAUAGUUGGUUGGUUCAUUAAUUGAAGAAAUGCUUACUGCCUAUUUGGCAUAGGCUCUGGCACUAUGCCAAGCCCAGGUAAUACAACAGGAAAAAGGUGACAUCUUCUUACAGAUGAUUUACAGGCAGUGUCAGGUGAUGAGUCUCUUGAGGGCAGUGUGGUGAGAGAGCUCAGGGAACUCAUAGCAAGGGCAUUUCUGUUCCAAUGAUUGGGGAUGUUUAGGGCACAGGUACUCCAGGCAGAGAGAGCAGACCAGGAGCAGAGGCCCUGUAAUGAGUUAGCUUCCUGGGAAUGUUUCAGCAAUAUCUCAGAGAAAUUCUGUAGUCAUAUCUGUACAUUCUUGUGUAUUUGGAGCUAAAAUUCCCCUAGGCUUGGAAACUAGAACUCAUCUAAGACUACAGGGUCUUCCUUUAGAAACUUGCCAUCUAUUCUGGUCUUCAGUUUGCUCUGAAAAAUGCUUUGACUGCACUUUCUUCAGUUGAAAAAUAAUUCUUCUGGAUAAAAUAAUAUAAAAUGAAAGAAGCAGUACAGCCAUUUGGUCUUCACUUUGUUGUUAACAGGGUGCUUGCUAUCUUGCCUAAACAGUAGAUUGAGUCCUCCCUUUCUUGUUUUAUUUUCCAAAUGUAGCUUUAAAAAAUCAUUUUCACUUUUUUUCUUUAGCAUUUUUUUAAACCUUGGUUCAGGAGUUCCUGUUGAGGCUCAGUAGGUUAAGAAUCCAGCACAGUGUCCAUGAGAAUGUGGAUUUGAUCCCUGGCCUCACUCAGUGGGUUAAGUAUACAGCAUUUCCAUAAGCUGCAGUGUAGGUUGCAGAUGUGGCUAGGAUCCUCCAGCCUUGCUGUGGCUGUGUCGUAGGCCUGCAGCUGCAGCUCAGAUUUGAUCCCUAGCCAGGGAACUUCUGUGUGCUACAGGUGUGGCCAUAAAAACAAACAAACAAAAACCAUUGGUUCAUGAUGUGUCUCAGUUUUCUAAAUGCUGCUUUUACAGACCUGUUUUCCCAUUUGCAUUUGUGCUUGCUCAUGCCCUCGUGGUAUUGCGAUGUAUGUGUGUGUGACGCUGUCCUAUUCAAACAUGAGUUCAUCAGAGAGGCUCCCCCAUGACUACAUUGCUCUCUUUAAAUGCCACUCACCACCAUCUUCAUUUUAUUAUUUAUUUAAACUUGAGCUUCAGCAUUUCACUUAUUUUAGAGCUUUAUAUGUCCCUUGAGCCAUUUAUCCUUUUAAGACCUUUUACAAAUUCAUAUCUAUGCUUUUGAAACUUGCCUUCCUAAAAUCUAAGGAACCAUCCUAAUAACUCCCAGAGUUUUUCAUUGAUUAUUGUAGCCGCAAAGAUGUCCUAGAAAUGUAGACACGGGGAGAAAUUCUGUGGUAUGUGUAACAGAAUAUCGAAUGCAUGUUCUCCCAUUGUCUUGAAGCUUGACCGAGGCCCCAAGGCUGCAAACAGCUGGUGACAUGUUCUCUUAUAUUCCAAAGGAAGGGACAGGUACCUCUGCUGAACAUGCAAAGAAUAUGGUCCAAAGUGAGUUAUGCCAUGCAAGUUCUUCCCUUACCUUGUAUAAGGCUGUAUUAGACAAGACAAAAAACAUCACUGAGAUAUUGAAGUAGCUGGUAGGGAAGUUCUCUUUGGUGAGAGUAGUCAGCGUGCUGAGAGUUUCCACCUAACUUUCCCAUAAAAUGAGAUAGGAAAGGCAGACUUUCCCUUCCUCAAGCCAUUCCAAAAAACCAAACCAAAACAAAAAGCUUCAAGAGCUUGGCAUGUGAUCUGUAGCAUACUGCUCUUGAGAGCCAAGGACAAGGCAGUGUUGAGAAUGGUCCAGAUGCUGGUGAACCUGACAUGGAUCACAGGGAAGGGGAAUGGGUGGUUUGUCUUGAGUUGAGAGGGCCUUUGUUCAAGACAUUGCAGAUUUGUGCAAAGUGACCUGGAGAGAGUGGGAACCAACAGUCGGGGGCUUGGAGGGAGUUCUAAUACCUACCAGAAGAGUUGCAGCCCACAUCAGGAAAACUCUAAGCAAGAGAUCACCAGCAAUGCAAGCUCUAAAGAACUUUGGGCAUUGCUGCAUCCAAAGAGCACUAAUGACAGAUUUCAAUUGAAAUAAUCAAGUAAGGGAUUUUUGUCCCAUAUUUCCUCUCCUUCUUCCAGUCCAACCCUGAAGGAACCAAGUACAGGUAAGUGAAUGGGGAAUGAGAAGUAGAAGAUGAGUAAAUGGAGAAGCAGCAGUCAGGGUUGGGAAAGACAGCUGGAAGUCCACCAUGGAUUGUGCUCCCCUUCCAUUGGUAUAUCAUGCAAGAAAGUCACUACACACCAUGAGGUUACCUUUUCCAAAGGCAGUGUCCUUUGCUACAUGAGGGCAUGUGACUGAAUUCUUCCCAGUGGAAUGUGGAUGAAAGUGAUCUAUGUUAUGUGCUAUCCUGUCCCACACUAACCUCCCAUAAAAUCUUCAAUGUUUUCCCCUCCCUGCUUCUGUCACCUGGAGGGUGGCAUCCAGGGUGUGGCACAUGCUAUAAUGUGCUCUUAGCCCUUAAUAUUGAAGUGCACACUAACCUAAAUUCUAGCUGCCUGCACCUGAGUCUCUACCUAAAGGCUUUCUCUAGCUGCUGGAAGUUCCUUUGCCCAUAUAUAUGGCAGGUGGAAAUAUCAAGGAAUUAGCAUCCCCCCCCCACAAUAUGUGAACAGUCCUAAGCCAGUGGUCAUUUGGAGUUGGUGGAUAAAUACCCAAGUUUGCUUCUUCUUGGCGGAUAGCACUGAGGUAUAUAUUCUCUACUGGUUCUCAGCAAGAUUAAGUUCUAGUUGCCCUCGGUUAUAACUUGCAUCAUCAUUUUUGUCUGAUUUUAUUUCUCUAUCUCAUUUGCUUUCUCUUUAGUGAUUUACUUGAUAGCCUCCCCAAUAAAACUACUUUUAUUCAAAUCUUUAUUUCAAGAUAUACUUCUGGGGAAAUGCAAACUAAGACCAGGGCAAUUUUGGAAUCUACAUUAUUUAAGAUAGCAGAGCCUCCUCUUCCCACCAAUACCACAUUGCCUCAAACUCACCACAGCUGGAUUCUGCUUUUUAUGAGCAAAACCUAAAUUUCCACUGUGUUAAACCACUGAUAUUUCAGGACUGUUAUCAUCUGUUACAGAACCUCAACUGACAUGCUGUGUAUGCCCCACUUCCCCUCUGACAGGUUUCUAAAUAUAAAGCAGAUCCAAGCCAGGGAAAGGGAAAGGUUUUAAAUUAGACAAGGGGUUCCCACCAUGGUGUGAUGGGAUUAGUGGCAUCUUGGGAGUGCUAGGAUGCAGGUUCAGUCCCCAGCCCAGCAUAGUGGGUUAAGGAUCCGAUGUUGGCCGCAGCUGUGGCUUAGUUGGCAACUGCAGCUCAGCUCUGAUCCCCGCCCAGGAAUUCCAUAUGCUGUGGGGCAGUGAAAAAAAGAAAAAA